AAUAUGGAUAUCCAUAUCUAUAUUAUGAAUACCAAUUUGUAUGCUCCUUAUUUUUCAUGAGUUCUUGUUUUACUAGAAUCUAAAUUUAUUUUGACUUUAGCUUGCGUUCUCACCUGGCUAUUUCUGAAUACUCCAUAAAUCAUAGAUAAUAUGGAUAUCUAUAUUAUUCAUCGGUUAGCCCUAUUUUUUUAUCCGUGUUAAAUGUGGGCAGGUCGGAUAUCUUAUUGUUUUUGUUUAACUCGUUUUGGACCCCCCAUAUCCGAUCUGACCCACCCGUUUGCCACUCCUGGGAGUGGGAGUCCUGGUUAUAGAAAUCUGUUUAAACUCAUAACUUUGUGAUUGGGCAAUGCUAAUUGAUUUUGAACAGUUUUCUGAGGGAAACGGCGAAGAAGAUGUGCAUCUAAAUUUUUGAAGGGAAAUUAGGAUUUGAGAUAUGUGGUAAAAUUGUAGAAGGGAAACAGGAUCAAAGGUUCGCGUUGAGAUGCACAAAGAUAAUAACGGGGAACGGGAAAAUGCAGUAACCAACAAAGUUUGCAUUGAUUGGAAACACAUGUAAGCCAGUAAUAACCAAAGAGGAACAACAUCAGUACUCAAUGACGAAUUCGGAAACAGCCUCCCUAUCGACAAAAGUAAGGGUAAGGUCUGUGUACAUCCUAUAUUCCUCAGACUCAACUUGUGGGACUAAACUGGGUUUGUUGUUGUUGUUGAAUUUUCACAUGAAUUCCUCCUGAAUAGAUCUUCCAAAACACUAUUGAAUAUAGCUAUUUUACUUGCAUAUUGUCACGGUCUUCGCUGUCUUGCAGGACUCUAGUUAUUAAAGACAUCAGAGGUAUGAUUUCAAGAAUACGUGAACUUUGCAAGUUUGUGCCUUUCAAUAGACAAGUUUUAAUUUAACAAGUGAUGUAUUUGAUAUAUGUGAUUACAUAAGUAGACUAUAUUUUAAAACAAGACUUUAUAUUUUAAAACAAACUUUGUAUAUUAGUUUACAGAAGAAAUUGUUGAAAUUAUUUCUUCUUUAGGAGGAUAAAUCAGACGAGCCACUAGCACAUUAGGAGUACUAAAAUUGUGGACUCCGUGCAAAGCAUAGCAAAACAAAUAGUAAAAUAAAAACAGAUAAAGGGAGCUCAGGGAAUUUGCUAGUGCACCGAGUCAGCUAUUUCAGUUUCUGGUUUGUACUUCAAUUUCUGUAUCAACUGGACGCAGCUCUACUCUAGUUUCUUUGUAGCCACAUUCUCGCAUGGGUCACCGUCAGCUUUCGCAGUUCCCGGCCUGUUUGUACUAAAAUUUCUGUAGCAACCGAAUGUAUCUCUACACGGGUUUGUUUAUAGCCGUAUCUCUUGCCUUCCCUGUUUGCAUUAUUCUCACUAUAAAAUAUUCAAAACAAGUAUGUGGGAAUAUAAUAGGAACUCAUCAAAUGGUUUUUGUAUAUACAGCUGAGUGAAAUAUAAACGCGAGAAAUGGAUGGCCAGAAAGAUGCAUCAGAAACAGGCUAAGUCUACCUUAAGCUUUUCUCUAAUGUCAUUAGUUCCUGAGCAUAUUUUCACUCACCUUGACUAUUUUACGUGGUACGUGUAUCCUCCCACUGAUACAGGUAUCAACUAACUAUAAAAAAGGACAACCCGGUGCACUAAGCUCCAGCUAUGCGCGGGGUCCGGGGAAGGACCGGACCACAAGGGUCUAUUGUACGCAGCCUUACCUUGCAUUUCUACAAGAGACUGUUUUUACGGCUUGAACCCGUAACCUCCAGGUCACAUGACAGCAACUUUAUCAGCUAACUAUGUGAACCAAAAUUUACUAGAUAGUAAGCAAUCACCUGGUUAAUUUGUUCUAUUGGAUUUGAUCAGUGUCCAUUGAUCUAUACUCUUUAAUUGACCGAAGACAAGCUUAGGGAGCUUGAGUCUACGUUGAUUGGAUUAGGUAGCAAAGUUUAUUGCUCUCAUUAAAUUUGUACGGUGAGACUAUCAUGGUAAAGAUCAUGUAUUUUCUUGCCACAUAGAAGAUUAGUUGCAGCAUUGAUUUGUGAAUCCCAACGAAUGAUUUCGAAUGUUGAAGCUAAUUAUCUGAACUUGUUUGACAUGCAUUAUAGGCAAAAGAGAUAGCCAAAGAAGAUCAAAGUUUUGCCAAAGUUUUUCUACACCAACUAUAAGCUGGCUGGGAGAUCGGAUGAUUUGUAUGAAUCUUAGUACUGUUAAUGUUAAAAUUUUAACGAUGACAAGUUUAUUAUGUAGGUACAAUAUUCAAAGAUGCCAGUGGGCCCGUUGGAUGCACAUAGCCCACAAAGUUGUGUAAACACUCAGCCUAGUCGCUUACGUGAAGGAAAUCAAGAAGAAUUAUGCUAACACUCACUUAUGGAAGCAACACCUAAUUAUUGAGAAGAUAUCAAUCAAGUAUCAUUAAGAGAUCUUUCCUUAUAUCAAGGGAAGGUAAAUCGAGUUAACAAGGAUUCGAUUACUCAACAAUCAAUCAAGAGACUUGUUGGGUUUUGAUAUUAGUGAAUGGGAAGUGAUGGGAUGGAAAGUGAAGGGAAUGUAAAAGGUCCCUUUUACUUUGGUUAAAGCAUUUGUCCCACAUAGGAAAGAGAGAGGAAAAGAGAGAUGUAUAUAUUACAUUACACCUACUCUAGGUACUAAAAGGGUUGAGGGGGAAAGGACCCCUCGCGCCGUCGUGGUCGCUCGGCUUCGGCUUUGGAUUUGGAUUUGAAUUUGGUCAAAUGAUUUGAUUGAUAAUCUUUUUGGACCAAAAUUCUUUUAAUUUAAUUUAAUUAAUUAUUAAUUAAUUAAUUAUUUCCAGAUCCUGACCCGUUAGUGACCCGCGACCCGUUUCUUUCUUUCCCGGAUUAAUUUAAAACAUUUCCCUCCUUUUUUCCAACGGAAUUUUCUGAAAGGUUGCAACCUUUUCUGAAAAGUUGCAAACCUUUUCUGAAAAGUUGCAAACCUUUUCUGAAAAGUUGCAAAUCGUUUCCCAAACAGGCUAUAUAUUUCUGUUGAUCCUCAGAAUUGUUCCUUACGAAAAAUC